AUACUUACUUCAAAAAGUGCCUACAUAACUUCUUCAUACUUUUUGUUUUUUGUAAAUUCAAUAUAAAUCCUGUUUUUCUAAAUGCAAGGAGCAACUACAGGAUAACUACAACUGGCCGCCUUGAUCAAAUAGCGUUUACUGAACCGAACUGUCCUCGUGCGCACCUGUGUGCAAUGGAAUCGAAAUCAAAGCACAUUCAUCCUGCAAAAUGGACAAACAAUGAAAUAGUUGGGCAAAUAGGGUUUAAGGGUUAGUUGUACUUGAACUGCCGGUCGCCAAUUGCUGCCAAGUUUUCCACUUGAUGGCGAUCGGAAAAAAGGGGGGGAAAUCCACAGGACUCGCAGAAUGGAGAAUGGAGGCAAAGGAGCCCGCAGGAGGACUCACGCACUGGAGGAUAACGGCCGAAGGAUGCGGGAAGUGGGGGAUCCUUUUAGCAAGGACCCUCGAUGUGGG